CCUACGGGUGGCAGCAGUGAGGAAUAUUGGUCAAUGGACGAGAGUCUGAACCAGCCAAGUAGCAUGAAGGAUGACUGCCCUAUGGGUUGUAAACUUCUUUUAUAAAGGAAUAAAACGAGGCACGUGUGCCUUUUUGCAUGUACUUUAUGAAUAAGGAUCGGCUAACUCCGUGCCAGCAGCCGCGGUAAUACGGAGGAUCCGAGCGUUAUCCGGAUUUAUUGGGUUUAAAGGGAGCGUAGAUGGGUUGUUAAGUCAGUUGUGAAAGUUUGCGGCUCAACCGUAAAAUUGCAAUUGAUACUGGCAGUCGUGAGUACAGUUGAGGUAGGCGGAAUUCGUGGUGUAGCGGUGAAAUGCUUAGAUAUCACGAAGAACCCCGAUUGCGAAGGCAGCUUACUAAACUGUGACUGACAUUGAUGCUCGAAAGUGUGGGUAUCAAACAGGAUUAGAUACCCCUGUAGUC
rnacentral:rRNA from 1 species